rnacentral:rRNA from 1 species
UGGGGAAUCUUGCGCAAUGGGCGAAAGCCUGACGCAGCCAUGCCGCGUGGAUGAUGAAGGUCUUAGGAUUGUAAAAUCCUUUCAGCGGGGACGAUAAUGACGGUACCCGCAGAAGAAGCCCCGGCUAACUUCGUGCCAGCAGCCGCGGUAAUACGAAGGGGGCUAGCGUUGCUCGGAAUUACUGGGCGUAAAGGGAGCGUAGGCGGAUAUUUAAGUCGGGGGUGAAAGCCCAGGGCUCAACCCUGGAACUGCCUUCGAUACUGGAUAUCUAGAGUAUGGGAGAGGUGUGUGGAACUCCGAGUGUAGAGGUGAAAUUCGUAGAUAUUCGGAAGAACACCAGUGGCGAAGGCGACACACUGGCCCAUUACUGACGCUGAGGCUCGAAAGCGUGGGGAGCAAACAG